rnacentral:rRNA from 1 species
AGAGUUUGAUCCUGGCUCAGAGUGAACGCUGGCGGCCAGUGCCUAAUACAUGCAAGUCGAACGGCAGCACAGUGGAGCUUGCUCCAUGGGUUGGCGAGUGGCGGACGGGUGAGGAAUACAUGGGAAUCUGCCCAGUCGUGGGGGAUACACGUAUGGAAACGUACGCUAAUACCGCAUGCGCCCUUCGGGGGAAAGUCGGGGACCGCAAGGCCUGACGCGAUUGGAUGAGGCCCAUGUUCAGAUUAGCUAGUUGGCGGGGUAAACGGCCACCAAAGGCGACGAUCGAUAGCUUGGUCUGAGAGGAUGAUCAGCCACACAUGGAACUGAGACACGGUCCAAGACUCCUACGCGGAGGCAGCCACGUAGGGAAUAUUGGACAAUGGGCGCAAGCCUGAUCCAGCCAUGCCGCCGUGAGUGAAGAACGGCCCAUCGAGGUUGUAAAAGCAUCU